UUGGCAUGCUUCUUCUGCACCAGAGAAACGUUUGAGUGAGAUUCUUACCGUCACUCAGAGAAGGAAAAGAACACGAAGUGGAAGGAAUUGCAGUGUUUACCAUCUGUAAUCUCUCCAAGUCUCUAAAGGAAAAAUCAUCUCAUGCUGAGAUUAUGAACGAGUUCCUCCUGAAGGAACCCCAAUGAGGUUGACGGAGAACCGGAGAGCCGGGUUGACAUUUCCGAGCGACUCUCUGAGACCACUUCAGUCUCUUCUUGCUCAUACAGGAUUUCUGGAGAGGAACAGACAUGGCAAAUGAUAUUGAAAUGGGCCGCCUCCACUCGACACGCUGCACGUGAUGAAUGAGGCUUUCUUGCAAAUGUAUGGGUAAAUGGUGGAUGGCGGCAAUUCGGUUGCACAGGGAAGCCUGGGUAAUGGAGUGAAGGAGAUGACAGCUGCUGGAAUCGACGAAACGAUAUAUCCGCAAAAUUGUCCACUUGUUUUGGGUGCGUCCUUGGAGGGGUAGUAUGAACAUUAUUAUGGUGGAUCACAUGACUAUUUCUUUAAUAGAAUAAAAUAGCCUCAUAAAUUAAUAUCAUUCAAUUAAAAGUAUAA